UUAGCGGCGGACGGGUGAGUAACACGUGGGCAACCUGCCUAUAAGACUGGGAUAACUCCGGGAAACCGGGGCUAAUACCGGAUAGUUCUUUUCCUCUCAUGAGGAAAAGGGGAAAGAUGGUUUCGGCUAUCACUUAUAGAUGGGCCCGCGGCGCAUUAGCUAGUUGGUAAGGUAACGGCUUACCAAGGCGACGAUGCGUAGCCGACCUGAGAGGGUGAUCGGCCACACUGGGACUGAGACACGGCCCAGACUCCUACGGGAGGCAGCAGUAGGGAAUCUUCCGCAAUGGACGAAAGUCUGACGGAGCAACGCCGCGUGAACGAAGAAGGCCUUCGGGUCGUAAAGUUCUGUUGUUAGGGAAGAACAAGUAUGAGAGUAACUGCUCGUACCUUGACGGUACCUAACCAGAAAGCCACGGCUAACUACGUGCCAGCAGCCGCGGUAAUACGUAGGUGGCAAGCGUUGUCCGGAUUUAUUGGGCGUAAAGCGCGCGCAGGUGGUUUCUUAAGUCUGAUGUGAAAGCCCACGGCUCAACCGUGGAAGGUCAUUGGAAACUGGGGAACUUGAGUGCAGAAGAGGAAAGUGGAAUUCCAAGUGUAGCGGUGAAAUGCGUAGAUAUUUGGAGGAACACCAGUGGCGAAGGCGACUUUCUGGUCUGUAACUGACACUG
rnacentral:rRNA from 1 species